rnacentral:rRNA from 1 species
GACGAACGCUGGCGGCGCGCUUAACACAUGCAAGUCGAGCGAGAACCAGGACUUCGGUCCUGGGGACAGCGGCGAACGGGUGAGUAACACGUGGGUAAUCUGCCCUCGGUUCCGGGAUAGCCCGGGGAAACUCGGAUUAAUACCGGAUAGCCUCACGAGCCUUCGGGGGAGUGAGAAAAGGUAGCUUUGGCCUCUGACCGAGGAUGAGCCCGCGGUGGAUUAGCUUGUUGGCGGGGUAACGGCCCACCAAGGCGACGAUCCAUAGCUGGUCUGAGAGGAUGAUCAGCCACAUUGGGACUGAGACACGGCCCAAACUCCUACGGGAGGCAGCAGUGGGGAAUAUUGGACAAUGGGCGAAAGCCUGAUCCAGCCAUGCCGCGUGAGUGAUGAAGGCCUUAGGGUUAGUAAAGCUCUUUUGCCCGGGAAGAUAAUGACGGUACC